UGCCCAGCAACUCCUAUUCCUACCUCCGCGUGGCACCGGCCGUGCUGUGAGCAGUCUUAGGAUAGAUCGGGUAAUUAACUCCGUAGGGACCUUCCGUCAGCUGACAGGGACGG
rnacentral:ribozyme from 1 species